rnacentral:lncRNA from 1 species
GUCUCUGCCUGUCUUCCCAAGACUGUUUCCUUUUUUUAAAAUAUAUUUUUUAGUUGUAGAUGGACCCAAUACUAUCAUUUGUUUAUUUUUAUGUGGUAUUAAGGAUCAAACCCAGUGCCUCACACAUGCUAGGUAAGCACUCUACCACUGAGCCACAACCCCAGCCCAAGCCUGUUUCCCUUUCAGACAUCACUGGGCUGGCCAUUCUGAAAUACUUCAUUUCCCCAACCAACACAGGCACCUGUUCUUCACUGAGCCUCCCAGUAAUGGCCUCUCCCUGGAUAGCACUUUUCUCCACUUUGAUUUGAGUUGUUUCAUUUGCUGAGUUGGCAGUGACUGACAUAUAAGCAGAAAUGGGCUUGGAAACCAUCCAGGGUGCUAUUCAGUGAGCUCUGACUUUUGAGACUGGGGUGAGCCAAGUGUACAAACACAGGAGAAGAUGAAAACGAAUCAGCAGUAGAAGUUGAGGACUGGAGAAUAAAAGGACAGAUGAAGUAUGUCCUAAGAUGUGACAGGCAACAAACAGCAGCAAGUGCUGUAGGAGGGGGAAAUCGAACUGGUCAAAGAAAAAGUGACAAUGAGGUGAAGCCAAAAUGUCAAAAGGAUGGCACUGGAACAUUACUAGUGGCCACACCUGACAUUGUACACUUAGGAAGCAUAUGUUUCUGAUCACUUUGUGUAAGCAAGCUAUGUUAAUUAUU